rnacentral:misc_RNA from 1 species
AUGAACGCAAGUGAAUUCCGAAGGAGAGGGAAGGAGAUGGUGGAUUACAUGGCCAACUACAUGGAAGGCAUUGAGGGACGCCAGGUCUACCCUGACGUGGAGCCCGGGUACCUGCGGCCGCUGAUCCCUGCCGCUGCCCCUCAGGAGCCAGACACGUUUGAGGACAUCAUCAACGACGUUGAGAAGAUAAUCAUGCCUGGGGGAAGUGCCAGUGAAGCCACCCUGGUGGCCCUGCUGGCCGCUCGGACCAAAGUGAUCCAUCGGCUGCAGGCAGCGUCCCCAGAGCUCACACAGGCCGCUAUCAUGGAGAAGCUGGUGGCUUACUCAUCCGAUCAGUCAAUUCCACAGUGUAAUGUGGAAGAACUGACAUGGCUCAAAGUUAGCACGCAGAGCAAGGUGACAGCCAAGACAUUUUGAAGGAUGCAAAAAGAGUCUGCCAGUGGAUCAAGGUGUACCUGCCAUCUUAUCCCAAAAGUCUUAUCUUUCUCCGUUGCGUUCAUCUCCACAGGCCAUACAGAUGGUUGCCACCCUGGGGACCACAACAUGCUGCUCCUUUGACAAUCUCUUAGAAGUCGGUCCUAUCUGCAACAAGGAAGACAUAUGGCUGCACGUUGAUGCAGCCUACGCAGGCAGUGCAUUCAUCUGCCCUGAGUUCCGGCACCUUCUGAAUGGAGUGGAGUUUGCAGAUUCAUUCAACUUUAAUCCCCACAAAUGGCUAUUGGUGAAUUUUGACUGUUCUGCCAUGUGGGUGAAAAAGAGAACAGACUUAACGGGAGCCUUUAGACUGGACCCCACUUACCUGAAGCACAGCCAUCAGGAUUCAGGGCUUAUCACUGACUACCGGCAUUGGCAGAUACCACUGGGCAGAAGAUUUCGCUCUUUGAAAAUGUGGUUUGUAUUUAGGAUGUAUGGAGUCAAAGGACUGCAGGCUUAUAUCCGCAAGCAUGUCCAGCUGUCCCAUGAGUUUGAGUCACUGGUGCGCCAGGAUCCCCGCUUUGAAAUCUGUGUGGAAGUCAUUCUGGGGCUUGUCUGCUUUCGGCUAAAGGGUUCCAACAAAGUGAAUGAAGCUCUUCUGCAAAGAAUAAACAGUGCCAAAAAAAUCCACUUGGUUCCAUGUCACCUCAGGGACAAGUUUGUCCUGCGCUUUGCCAUCUGUUCUCGCACGGUGGAAUCUGCCCAUGUGCAGCGGGCCUGGGAACACAUCAAAGAGCUGGCGGCCGACGUGCUGCGAGCAGAGAGGGAGUAGGAGUGAAGCCAGCUGCAGGAAUCAAAAAUUGAAGAGAGAUAUAUCUGAAAACUGGAAUAAGAAGCAAAUAAAUAUCAUCCUGCCUUCAUGGAACUCAGCUGUCUGUGGCUUCCCAUGUCUUUCUCCAAAGUUAUCCAGAGGGUUGUGAUUUUGUCUGCUUAGUAUCUCAUCAACAAAGAAAUAUUAUUUGCUAAUUAAAAAGUUAAUCUUCAUGGCCAUAGCUUUUAUUCAUUAGCUGUGAUUUUUGUUGAUUAAAACAUUAUAGAUUUUCAUGUUCUUGCAGUCAUCAGAAGUGGUAGGAAAGCCUCACUGAUAUAUUUUCCAGGGCAAUCAAUGUUCACGCAACUUGAAAUUAUAUCUGUGGUCUUCAAAUUGUCUUUUGUCAUGUGGCUAAAUGCCUAAUAAACAAUUCAAGUGAAAUACUAA